rnacentral:tRNA from 1 species
GCGGAAGUGGCGGAACGGUAGACGCGCUAGAUUUAGGACCUAGUUAAUUAAGAGUUCAAAUCUCUUCUUCUGUA